UUCGACAAAGAGUUUCUCUUCAGUUUUCAACAACACAUUACAACAAGACAUAAAACAACCUAAAUAUGAUAAUUAAAAGUGAAAAGAAAAUGACUAAAAGAGAUCAAGGAUUUCUGAAAUGGAGGUGUUGCAUAGAGGACAGUUUCCUCUUUGAACCCAAAGCUCUCUCGAACACAACCUGCAGAACGUAUGACCACACGGUAUAAACGCUGCUCCUUUGCUUCUUACCAUACAAACACAACAACUUAUCUCCGCCGCCGCCGCAGUCUCCUCCACCACUCCUCUCUCCUCUUCCUCCCCGUCUCCUCCUACUUCUACCAAGCUCAUUUGCCCUUCGUUCUCAUCCAACAACUCCAUCAACGACAUCCUCGCCGGCUGCAUGUCUGUCGUCACCGGCGGCGUUUCCUCUUCCCUCGCUGAUAACGCUCUCUCCUCCGCCAACACCACUCCUAACUGUAACCUCCCCUCCGCCGUUACUCCGCCGCUGGAAGCAGACUCCGGUUGCGAUUGUCCUCCUUCGUUUCUGGAGUUGGAGAGUAGAGAACCGAGCUGGUGACUAUCACUAUUGCGUUUGAGGCGGAGCUUUUCGCGUAGAGACUUCCAAGCGGUCUUGUCUCGGUGGCUGCUGUAGUCGUGUCGGUGCUCUCUCUGCAUUACAUCAAGAAGUGUCCGAUUUGAUUGGUUCCUAGACGGCAGAGGCUGCGGCGGGGUUCCGUUUCUGUCGGCCAUUAGAAUAGCUUCGAGAGUCAACCCCGGUAACGAGCUCCGGCCAGUCUCCAUACAAUCUAGUAACGUCACUCUCAGCCUAUCACCACCGUCCAUUUGCAUCAUCUUUUACGGAGUCAAGAGAGAAUAUAGAAUGAGAUUGUGAACUGAAAAACGCAUAUUCAGGACAUAUGCUUUCUACAAGAUACAUGUGGCAAAGAAGCUACAUAUAUGCUGCAUCUAUUGAAACGCUAAAUUAAGCUAACAAUGAAGAAGGUUAAGAGAGAGAGAGAGAGAGAGUCAUACUUAUCCAGUGAACAAAGUGGGGCUCAGUGAAGUAACGGUAGAUCCAGUUUAGGAUGUACAAUCCCCUGUACCCACUGCAAGAAGAUGACAAUCAAGAGAAGUCAAAGGAAGAAGAAGCAAUAACACUAAUCAAAGAAAGCGAGCUUGUUGUACCCAAGGAGAAAAAUGUAUUGGCCAGUCAAGUUAUCGAUAUUUCUAGUCCUUUGCAGCAAGACAAGCUGAGGUAAUAUAGCAACAGCUUCCAAGUACAAUGAAAACGUCCAGAGCACCUCAAGAAAGGUGAACUUCUCGUGGAUGAGAAGAGCCAAGACAAGGCAAGGAAGCACAAGGAACCAGUGGCGAAACGUAUCCUGCUCCCUGUCGUAAGUCCUGUGGACAGCCUUAUGGUACCUCAUGUACCAGACAAUCGAAAAGGAGCUCCCUAAGAAGACCAGCUUCAUGAAGGUGUUGUAGACAGACACGAAGCUCGUGAAAAUGUCCAAGUAACGCGUAGCGAACACAAUGGCGUAGAGCUCUUGCGUCCUCAAUGACACACCUGCAAGUUAAUUAACCGUUACAAACGAAUCAUUCAGAUCAUACGGUCAACGUCAAUUUUAACCUAAACUUAUCAUCGGAAUGGGAAAUGAAGAUACCGGCGCAGGAUUUGAUGGUGUGGAUCUUGAGGAGCAAGACGAGAACACUGGCCAGGUGAGUCAUAUCACCUGCUAAUCUGAAAAUGUUCAUCUUCUUUCGAUCUCUCUCUUCUUCCUUCUCUACACCACAAUCCGGGUUCGGCUCGUGCUAAGAUAGAUCUCGUUGGUGCCGUUUCCACAAACUUCUUCUCCCGUGUUUUUGCUUUUUUUCCCUCUGGUAAUGAAAGCCCAUUACUUCUCGUUGUGGGCUUUGUUCUUUUGGGUAACGAUAUCUUAUUACCCUACCCGAUUUUAUCGGUUUCAUACCUAACCGGUGUGUAUUUUGAUUAACCGAAAAUAAAAUAUACUUGCGUUUUAUUACCUGCCUUGUAAAUCUUCAAAACACGGUUUCAAUAUCAAACAAUUCUAUCACUAUAACCUGUUUGAUUUUCUCUGUGUCAACUGGUUACAUAGCAUAAUUAAGAACAAACUGGAUUGCAAAAUGGCUAUAUCCUAUAUGUUGUGAAUAAUGUCGAAUAAAUCAAAAAUAAAAUUCAAACUACUAUGGCUGAAAUUCAUUAUCAUACUAGCUAGUUUGAAUCGAUUUUGAUCUGAUUUUACAUAUAGUCAAGCAGAUAUCUAGAUACAAAAGAUCUAAUCAGAAUAUCCUACAUCGAUAUAUUAAAUAAAAAAUACAGUUUUUACCCUAUACAAAAUAUGGCAAUUCUCCUAAAACACAAGUUUUUAUCAAACACACAAGAAAAUGAUCAAAAUGUCAUUCAGUGAAGAGCAAAAAAUACUAAGUAAUCUUAAUAAUAAUACAUUUAAUAUAGCUACAAAUAUAAAAAUAUUUUUAUUUUAAAUUUUAUACCAUAGAUGUUAGAGCCAUUUGCACAGAAAAUAGUCAAUAAUUAUGAAAUUUGCAAGGAUAGAAAAGGGUAGUGGAAUCCAACAUUAGUAGGUCUAAAAUACACUGAUGGCCCUAUUAUUCAUUUUGUUAUGUUAAGAGGCAAGAGAAUCCCGUAGAAAUGAUUUUCUUAUGCAAAAAAAAUAGUAGACCCCACUAUUCAAGAAAUAUUAUUUUAUUUAAAAUAUUAUUCUGUUUUCUUUCUUCUCUUGUUUUACUUUUCUCUCAUUUUCUCAAUUUUCUUUAUUAGCUUUCAUAAUCUUCUUAUUUCAACUAUAAUAUUUACUAUUAUUACCAUAUGUAAUCUGUUCACAUAGCUUGCUAACAACGUUAUCUAUCCCGUCUAAUAAAAUAUAUAACCGUCUAUUAUAUUUGGUGCUCAUAUAGCUUGCUAACAAAAUAUGAACCAUUUAAUAAAAUACGAGGGUGUCUAAUAAAAUAUGUAACUGUCGAAUGACCCACUUGGCUACAUCGCACGAUUGAAAGAUUUGGGGUUGAUUCGCGAGGAUGUUUCUGUAAGUCUAAAAUGUUUGGGGUCAAAUUGAAAAGAACUAGAACGCCAGGGACAUGUCGUGCAAAAAAAUAGAAAGUCACCAUUGGAUAGAUCAACCUUUCUCUUCGCCGGAUCUUGAGCUUGAUGGAGAUGGCAAGGAGGAGCACGAUGGCAGUGCUUGAAUCCGAGCAUGACGACGUCGGUAGAGCAAAGCGACUAAAGAUCCGGUGACGAAGGAGUACGCCGUGUAAAUUUUGCAGCGGUCUCGCGACGGUCUCGACGUAAACAUAGGUGGAAGGUGAAGCACCGUCGUGAAGGGAUAAGCUUGACGGCGUACAUUCUGACGCGGCAGUGGAUGGAAGAAGUCGGAGCUCAGGUUCAUGGCGAGUCGGAGGUGGUUGCAGAAGAGGACAAGUGAAUCGAUGUGAAUUUUAAAUGAUUUCCGAUGUAGAUAUAAAAGAAGGUUAAAAGUUUCAACGGAGAACACAUUGUGGACUUACAAACAUAGCGGAGAAUAGGGGAUCAGGUGGACUUCAUAAUCUUUUAACUAAGAGUUUGACGGAGAAAACAAUGUGCAUUUUUUAGAUGAAAAAAGAUGUAAGAGAAGAAGAACUGAAGAGUAUCGAUUAGUGUGAACAUGCAACAACUCUUUGUUGUACAUGUUGCGUAUUAUAGGUUAGGUAGGUGUUUAUUAGACCAAUAUAAUAUACGUUGUAUUGUAGCAGGAAUAGGGAUAGAAAUGUCAUUUAAAAAAAACACAUCAGCAAGAAAAACCAACUUCCAUCUGUGCAAAUUAUGGGGUUAUGUUUGUAGACGGAGUGCAGUUACUAUAAAUUUUAAACCCUACACUCUAAACUCUAAAUCAUAAACCUCCAUCCACAAAAAAACUAAAUCAUAAUUCUCAACCAAUUAACCUUAGUGGUAUGUAUAUAUUUAUAUAUUUUAAUGAAUGCUAGUAUGAUCAUUUUUCUUUUUUAUCUGUGUUAUUUUUAUGUCAUUAUGGCGGUAUUUCUCUUGUUUUAUUAUUCAAAAAUAUAAUUUUAUAUAUAGUUUAUUUAUUAAUUUAAACUUAUCUUGCAUUUUUACGGUCUUAAUAUUUUAUAAAUAAAAUGAUCUAAUUUUUUUUUCAAUCUGUCUUUUACUUGAUAUAUAUUUUACGUAUUUGAUCGUACAAUAAGCAAAAUAGUAAUCAUAUAAAAAUCAAUAAAAAUAUAAUUAUCAUUUAUUAGAAAUGGAUAUAUUAAAUAUCAUAUUUUCAUUUUCAUUAUGUAUAUUAAUUGAAUUAAUAAUAAUUUAAUACUAAAUACAAAUUAUGUAAUUAAUUAAAAGUACAUAUUAAAAUUAUUAAUAUAAUUCAAAGACAUAUUCAUUCAAAAUUUCCAAUAGAUUUUGAAAUAUUUUUAUUAAGAUAAAAUGUAUAAAAAUAUUAGAGUAUCUUUUUAUUAAAUUUGAAACGAAAAAUAUUCAAAUUUUACAUAGCCGGAUUAUCAUGAUAAUAUCUUUACUUUUUUCAAAAUGGAUAGUUACAUGGACAAGUACAAGUAGGAUAAUGUGAGAGGGAAGUGUUGCCAUAACUUCACAACAAAUUGUAUGGUAUGUUGUAGGCUUGUAUUUAGAUAGUAAUUCAAAAGACAUUUAUGGAGUAUAUAUGUGUAAAAAUAAUUUAUAUGGAGUUCUAAUUUAUGCAUUGUGGUUCUAGUUUAAAUAUGCAUAUCAUUGUUAUUUGAACAUCAAAAUUUGGUUUUUGGUGAUUCUAAUUUAUGCAUUAUUAUUGUUUGCAAUUGCAUAGUUGGCAGCAAUAAAGUGAAUGUCAAAUGUCUGAAUGGUUCUGUUGCAGGCUGGGAUCCAGACUACUCAAUGGCUAGACUGAGAUUCAAGAGAUCGGACUGGACAGGACGAACGAAUGGAAAAGGGAGCGGCUAGAUGGAUGCGAUGGAGAGAGGAUCGGCCGGUUUGUACCUGAAAUAAGAGAGAAUGAUUUUUAUGAGUUUUUUUAUGGAUUAAAAAUGAAGAACAUAAAGUAAAUUAACUGAGAAAUAAAGAACAAAAAUAAAUAUGAAUUUUUAUGGGUUUUUAUUUUAAUGGCCGAUCUGAAAUAAAAGAUGCAAUGAAACAAAAACAAGAGAAGGAUAGAGAUGGCUGAUGGAUUCAAGUUGCUGGACGUGUGUCUCUCUCAACAAGAACAGGGGAUGGAGAUGGCGUGAAGAUGGGAUCUGGCUUGCUGGACUGAAGUCUCUCUCAAGAUGGAUCGGUGGAUGGUAUGGCAUGAGGAAUCGCCACAAGCUUGGUGGUGGAAAGCUUGAUGAGAUUCGAGAUUGCUUCUAGCCAAAUCGCUCAACAAGAAGACUUAAGAAUUUUCUUUGCUCUAGGGGCAAACCGACUCAUAUAUUUCAUGAACUAAAAAAAUUACAAGGCUGCUUAUAGUGGGGAUUAAAUACCCUGCUGCUAUGCCCUUCUAGGGGACUUUGAAGCAAAUCAACAUGGACUCUCUUGGACUCUAAAAAUCGACAAGGCCUAGACAAGAAUGGGCCGACUCUUCUUGGACAACUAAAGCAAAGGCUAAACAAAUGGCUUUGAAUUAUUGGACUCAAAUAAAUAAAAAGGACUUAAACAAUUUGCCCAUAAGUUCAUGCAAUUGAAAUUAAAAGAAAGAACCAACACAAACCAAAAACAAUAAACCGGUUAGAAAUCAUAAAUGAAAUCUUACCUUCUUACCUUAAAUGGAAUGGGGCGGAUUACUCAGAACCGGCUGGGAUUGGGACAGGGUCUGAACCGAGUUCACAUGUAGAGAUGGUUAGGCCGGUUCGGUUCUGGGCGAGUGAUCUGAAUUGGAUUGGACCGGCUUGAUCUUGAACCUCUAUUGGACCGGCUUGAUCUUGAAUCUUCAAUUGGAUCAUCUCUUCAAUUAGUAACUCUUCCUGACCGGUUUGAACAUUUUGAUCAAGGAUUUGUUGGACAGCUUUAGAGAAACCGAGUCUUAUGGCCCUGGCUCCACUCCGGGUAGUCGGACCACACCUAACCACGGGAACCUCUAUUUGGAUGGCCGCAUCAGGUUCGGAGAUUUUCGUAUUAAUAAUCAAACAUAUAAAAUAGUUUGGCAAUUACAAAAAGUAAAGAGAUUGUUUAAACAAGGUCAUCUAAACAAAGUCUUUUUGAUGGGAUUUAAGAUCGUCAAAAGGGGAUCUCCUCUCAAGAGAAGAGGUUGUCCAUGAUGAAUAUUUGUGGUGGUGGUCGAUGUUGACGAUCUCUAAAUGUAGAAUGUUUAUACGAUUAUGCUUUUGAAUGAAUAGUGAUAGUUUUUCACGUAAACACGAUUUGUCAGUCAACAAGGUAUAUUUUCUUAUAUAGGUUGGGCUUGGUUUUGGUUCUAACAUUCUAAUGAGUCGUGUGUUAGAAUAAUCUCCAACAACUAUGAUCAUUUGGAAUGUUGUAAAUACUGAAAGCAUUCUUGUAUAUUUUUCAGUGAGAACUCGAAUUAGUGAAAUAUUCCUAAGUGGUGAUGCAAUGCAAGGUAAUGUUUUCGGACAUAUUCUAGUAAAUGAUGAGGACCAUGAGGUUGGUUUCAUGGGAAGAAGUUAAUGAUAGUUAAGAUAUGUUAUUGGUGUCAAAAUAAUCUCCGAGCCCAGAAAAAAUUGAGAAGGCUCAAGCGGAGCUUGGGUAUUUAACAUUGAUACUCCUUUAUGCGAUGUUCAAAGUAAACACUUCAAUUUUCUAAAGCUAUCAGUUAACUCAAAUGUGUACCAAAGACACUUGUCUUAACACGCAGCAAGUAGAGUUGUUAACCAGUGUACCUCUCAGUUAGGUGAUUGUUGGUAGCCAUAAGUAUAGUCGGAAGAUUGUUCACGUCUUGAACGACCACAUAUGGAACCUCUUCCAACACACAUCAGUGACAGCAGAAUUAAAUAUGCAAUUUAUGGUCAACCAUAAAUUGUUUUCCUCUCUCAACUCCUCCAUUGUACUUUGAUUGCCAUAUUACCAAAUGUAAAAGAUAGAUGGGUUGGUGAAGUUUUUAAUAAGAUGAUUUAUGUGAAUAAAGUGUAACUUUUGGUUCAUGAAUGUAAAUAAUUCAAUUUCUUUUCCCAGUAUGUUUUUCAAUUUAACUUAAACUCUUGAUUAGUCUCUUCUAUUUAGUGGUAAUAGUUUAACUUAACAUUUUCUGGAAAAAUAACAGAAAAACGGUUAACACUUCCAAGAAUCUGAGAGAGAGAGAAUUCGACAAAGAGUUUCUCUUCAGUUUUCAACAACACAUUACAACAAGACAUAAAACAACCUAAAUAUGAUAAUUAAAAGUGAAAAGAAAAUGACUAAAAGAGAUCAAGGAUUUCUGAAAUGGAGGUGUUGCAUAGAGGACAGUUUCCUCUUUGAACCCAAAGCUCUCUCGAACACAACCUGCAGAACGUAUGACCACACGGUAUAAACGCUGCUCCUUUGCUUCUUACCAUACAAACACAACAACUUAU
rnacentral:lncRNA from 1 species